GAUGAACGCUGGCGGCGUGCUUAACACAUGCAAGUCGAACGGAGUUUACAUGUGAGCGGAGGGUGCUUGCAUCUGACAAUCUUUGUAAACUUAGUGGCGGACGGGUGAGUAACGCGUGGGUAACCUGGCCUCAUACAGGGGGAUAACAGUUAGAAAUGACUGCUAAUACCGCAUAAGCGCACAGUAUCGCAUGGUACGGUGUGAAAAACUCCGGUGGUAUGAGAUGGACCCGCGUCUGAUUAGCUAGUUGGUGGGGUAACGGCUCACCAAGGCAACGAUCAGUAGCCGGCCUGAGAGGGUGAACGGGCCACAUUGGGACUGAGACACGGCCCAGACUCCUACGGGAGGCAGCAGUGGGGAAUAUUGGGCAAUGGGGGAAACCCUGACCCAGCAACGCCGCGUGAAGGAAGAAGGCCUUCGGGUUGUAAACUUCUUUACCAGGGACGAUAAUGACGGUACCUGAGGAGGAAGCUCCGGCUAACUACGUG
rnacentral:rRNA from 1 species